UACGAAGGGGGCUAGCGUUGUUCGGAAUUACUGGGCGUAAAGCGCGCGCAGGCGGUCUUUUAAGUCAGGGGUGAAAGCCCAGAGCUCAACUCUGGAAUUGCCUUUGAAACUAGAAGACUUGGGUACGGGAGAGGUGAGUGGAAUUCCGAGUGUAGAGGUGAAAUUCGUAGAUAUUAGGAAGAACACCAGUGGCGAAGGCGGCUCACUGGUCCGGUACUGACGCUGAUGCGCGAAAGCUAGGGGAGCAAACGGG
rnacentral:rRNA from 1 species